GGGGUUGUAGCUCAGUCGGUACGAGCGCUCGCUUUGCAUGCGAGAGGUCCAGGGUUCAAAUCCCUGCUGCUCCA